CUGCCUGGUACCAGAACCACAGGGUCUGUUCAUGUUCUUCCUCUGUGAAGGAAACUAAAAGGCCAGCCAGGUCAACUGACCAGGAUUUCAGAGAAGAAUCCUUGGCAAAAGCUAAGCCCAGAUGAAUGGGUUAUAAUCAAAGACAGCUUUGAACUUUGAUCUUUGAACUACACAGACACCAAGGAUCCAUUCCACAGGCAAACGUGAUAGCAGGACUACUCAGAUGUGAUUAAUGAGGUCUUUUGGAAUAUGACUUCGGGAUUUCUCACCUUCACAUGAGGAUUUAUGAGGCAUGUGGUAAUUGAGAAAUGUGUCUUCAUGGUGAUUCUAAAAGCAGAUGGCAUUCAUUCAUUUAUUCAUUCAGUCCACAAAUAUUUACUGAGCGUCUACGAUGUGCCAGGAGCUAAAUACAAAGAUUCACAUGGACAUAAUGGAAAAUACUUAGGCCACCUAUGUACUUGAGAAUCUCUGUUCAUGAAGAAUAACACAGUGGACACAUAUUCCUGAGAACCGUAACAAUGAAAAAUUACAAGAGCAUUGUGUGUUGGAAAAGUUGUUUGAGUUCUGUGUUUGGUGCAUACCCUGUGGCUACUACUUAGGGAACACACCAAUCAGAAAUAGACGGGAAGAACAAUCACAAGUUUAAAUUGAAUCAAGAGAGUCUUCCUGAACUCAAAUGGUUACGCUAAUAUGCAUAUUUCACUCAAUAUUUUUAUAUGUCAUAAAUUUUUUGAGGCAGUUCUAUUUUUAUAUCCUGCAUAAAUGACAGCCUCAAAAUAUAGGUCAGGGUGUUACUAACUGCUUAGAGCAAGUACACACUCAGGAAAUUUCUUUUCCUAAAGAUCUAGCUUAUGAAAGAUAGAUGAUUGGACUUUUUGAAAUUUAGAUGCAAAGUUAUAAAAUAUCUAAAAGUCUAUAUCUUAUAGAUAUAUAAGCAUUGGCUGUAAACAAUGAGGAUCUGCCUAAA